AAGUUCCUUCAACACAGUCCAAAGUUCCUUCAACACAGUCCAAAGGUCAUUCAACACAGCCCAAAGUUCCUUCAACACAGUUCAAAGUUCCUUCAACACAGUCCAAAGGUCAUUCAACACAGCCCAAAGUUCCUUCAACACAGUUCAAAGUUCCUUCAACGCAGUCCAAAGUUCCUUCAACACAGUUCAAUGUUCCUUCAACACAGUCCAAAGUUCCUUCAACACAGUCCAAAGUUCCUUCAACACAGUCUAAAGGUCCUUCAACACAGUCCACAGUUCCUUCAACACAGUCCAAAGUUCCUUCAACACGGUUCAAUGUUCCUUCAACACAGUCCAAAGUUCCUUCAACACAGUCCAAAGUUCCUUCAACACAGUCCAAAGUUCCUUCAACACGGUUCAAUGUUCCUUCAACACGGUUCAAAGUUCCUUCAACACAGUCCAAAGGUCAUUCAACACGGUUCAAUGUUCCUUCAACACAGUCCAAAGUUCCUUCCCCUAAUCCUCAGUUCCUCCUGGUGGUCCGUUGCAGAACAAACUCCCCUCUCAUAUUCCAUAAACUGCCUUCAAAGAGAAAAGUAUGAAAGAAGGAGAAAACCUUUGAUCAUUCAUCUUUUUCGCGAUCAUUCAUCUUAUCAACUUUUUCCAUCUCACAUCAUAAGAGUUCUUUCUCGUCUCUUCACCGCGUCACGUUCUUCAUGAUUUCGAGCCGUUCCUCGUCUCAUAACAGUUUCCUGGUCUUCCACCUGUCGUAGAUCAGUGCACAGAUCAAUGAGUGGUUUCUCCACCACGUCUGGUCUGUGGACCUCAUACUUUUUUCAUGUUAGGGUUUGAACUGAAGGCAGACUUUAACAUUCUACUUCAGAAGUCACAUGAUCUUGGUUUGGCUCUCACUCAUACUCUGAGAUUCAACGUGACUUCCUGGUGACAUGAGGGUUUCAGACUUUUAAAAACCUGUUUGUAAAUCACUCCUGUGCAAACAGUUGUGAUUGUGUGUGAAGGAGGAGGAGGAGGAGGAGGAGAAGGAGGUCGUGAACUCCUCAAGGCUUCUCAGAAACACUGUGACCUUUGGACCCGAGGCUGGUGAUCAUAAAAGGCCGGUGAGACUAAUGAUGAGCUGCUUCAGACUCUUUCAGGACGUCAGCUGCAGUUAUGUCACGAAAGUCUUGGAUUGAGGAAACUUUCCUCAAGCGUGAGUGUGUGAAGUUCAUUCCUUCCUCCCGGGACCUUCACAGAUGUUUUCCAGUUUGUCAAGUCUGCCAAAACUUAAUCAGAUGUUGCUGUGGUCGUCUGAUUGGAGAACACUUGUGGGAGGAGUCACAUCCUCCCAUGUCCCUCUGUCCUGCUCCUGGUCAGGACCUGGAUGAAGACUGGUCCAUGGAGCUCCACACCAAAGCCACGCCCACUAAUGCGUACGGAACCAUCGACUUUCAGGACACGGCAACGCGUGUCUGUCGCGCCAAGUUCGUACGCGUGGCCGUGGACUCGAGGGCGGAGUCAGUGCUGCAGCUGAUGCAGAGGGAGUGGCAGAUGGACAAACCCAAACUUCUGCUGACGGUGCACGGGGGAUCAGAGAACUUCAGUCUGCCUCUUAAGGUCCAGCAGGCGUUCAGUAAAGGUCUGAUCACUGCUGCUCUGAGCACCGGAGCCUGGAUCCUCACUGACGGCAUCAACACAGGUGUGUCUAGGUUUGUAGGUGAGGCAGUGAAAAUGUUCGGGGGUCACGACCUGAGGAAGAGGAACACGGUCGGUCUCACGCCGUGGGGUUUGAUCGACAACAACACGGACCUCGUCGGUCCAGAUGUGUUCAGACAUUAUCAGCCUCUGGGGAACCCACUGAGCAAGAGAGCCUGUCUCAAUGGUUUCCACUCCCACUUCCUGUUGGUGGACGAUGGAACGCUGGGGAAACAUGGCUGCCAGCAAGGCCUCAGGAGGAAGCUGGAGAAACACAUCCAGCUUCAGAAGAUACAUCCUCGUCUGAACCAUGGCGUACCUGUGGUGUGUGUGCUGGUGGAGGGAGGAGCAGCGCUGGUGUCCACAGUGCUGGAUUAUGUCAGCAGCGUUCCUCCUGUGCCCGUCAUCGUGUUGGAAGGCUCGGGCAGAGCCGCCGAUCUGCUCGCCUUCUUACACAAGCAGACGGCCGACGACAGGCACCUGGUUGGAGACAUGAAGGAGGACUUCCUCGUCAGGAUUGGUGACGUGUUUAAAGUGGACCGAGCAGAAUCUUCUCACCUCUACGACCUGUUCCUGCAGUGUAUGGAUCACAGACAGUCUAUCACCAUCUUUGACUCCGAGUCAGAGGACCAGAUGACUCCUGAUGCAGCCAUUUUGUCUGCCACACUGAAAGGGACCAGAGCUGGUCCUGCAGAGCAGCUCAGUUUGACGCUGGCCUGGGACAGAGCGGACGUGGCGCAGAAAGACGUCCUGCUGUACGGACAACACUGGCAGGCUGGUUCCCUGGAGCGAGCCAUGCUGGACGCUCUCGUCAUGGACCGCGUCAGUUUUGUCAAACUGUUGAUUGACAACGGAAUGACCAUGAGUCGCUUCCUCACUGUGGAUCGACUGGAGGAGCUCUACAACACGCCUCAGGGACAGACGGACCGUUUCCUGCGUCACCUUGUUGAAGACGCUAAACAGACGUCCCUCCCCCUUGGUUACCGCCUCUCCAUCAUCGACAUGGGCGUGGUGGUGGAGUAUCUGAUAGGCGGAGCUUAUCGCAGCACGUACACACGCAAACACUUCAGAGCAGCGUACUGCCGCCUGCAGGACAAAGAGGGAAGACGCAUGAGCUCCGCCUCCUUUUACAAACAGAGGCGGGGACUGAUAUCAAGCUCCCUGAGUGGGAGGAGCCUCCAGGAGCAGCAGUUCUUCAGAACGGCUCAGCCGUACAAAAGCAAGCAUCAGGACGUGUCCCUGAGCAGCAGCAGCAGCAGUGGUGUUGGUGGUGUUGAUGAACUCACCCUGGGUCCAGGUCUCGUCUCCGCCCCUCCGCUCGCGCCCUUUAACUUCAACGACCUGUUUGUGUGGGCCGUCCUUCAGCAGCGGCAGCAGAUGGCGCUGUUUCUGUGGCAACACGGCGAGGAGGCGCUGGCCCGAGCUACGGUGGCCUGUAAGCUUUACCGCUCCAUGGCCUUCGAGGCUCGACAGAGCAGCAUGGACGACAACAUGGCCGACAGAUUCAAGGCCUACUCACUUGAGUUCGGUCAGCUGGCCGUGGACGUGUUGGACACGGCGUUCCGUCAGAACGAGCAGAUGUCCAUGAAGCUGCUGACGUCAGAGAUGGAGGCGUGGAGUGACUUCACGUGUCUGCAGAUGGCCGUGUCGUCGUGUCACAGACCGUUUGUGUCUCACUCGUGCACACAGACGCUGCUCACGGACCUGUGGAGCGGUCCACUCAACAUGAGCAAAAACUCCUUCCUCAAGAUCCUCUUGAGUCUUGUGCUGCCCCCUGCUGUUUUGCUGCUGGAGUUUAAAAGUAAAGCAGAGAUGUGUCACGUGCCUCAGUCUCAUGAAUCCGUGCUGUUUGGACUCGACGCGGUGACGUCGGUGCAGGAGGAGAACGAUCCCACGCUGAAGGUGGAUCAGGAUGAAGAGCUCGGCCCGACGUGUCCUGUCUCAGAAAGUGUCUCCUCUGUGACGGUGCACUGUCUCUCCUGGAUUAAACGACUCUAUGGAUUCUACACAGCUCCAGUCGUCAAGUUCUGGUUUCACACAGUGUUCUACUUGGCCUUCCUGAUGUUGUUCUCCUUCGUGGUCCUGGUGAAGAUGGAGGACCAGCCCAGUGUGCAGGAGUGGUUGGUCAUCGCUUACAUCCUGUCCACAGCAGUGGAGAAAAUCAGAGAGGUUCUGAUGUCUGAGCCAAGGAAGCUGAGCCACAAGCUCAAGAUUUGGUUUUCCGAAUAUUGGAACAAGUCGGAUUUCAUCGCCAUCCUGCUCUUCCUGGCCGGACUGACACUGCGCUGGCACGCUGACCCCUACAGGACGGCGGGACGCAUCGCGUACUGUCUGGACAUCAUCUUCUGGUUCAUCAGGGUGACGGAUCUGCUGGCUGUCAACCAACACGCUGGGCCUUACCUCACCAUGAUCACCAAAAUGACCAGUAACAUGUUCUUCAUCGUGGUCAUGAUGGCGAUCGUGCUGCUGAGCUUCGGCGUGUCCAGGAAAGCCAUCCUGUCUCCAGACGAGGAUCCGUCGUGGACUCUCGCUCGAGACGUGGUCUUCCAGCCGUACUGGAUGAUCUACGGAGAAGUCUACGCCACAGAGAUUAACCCGUGUGACGACGGCGUUCCCUGCGCUCCUGCCUCGUUCCUGACUCCGUUCCUUCAGGCCGUCUACAUGUUCUUCCAGUACAUCAUCAUGGUCAACAUUCUCAUCGCCUUUUUUAACAACAUCUACUUUGACAUGGCGUCCACGUCCAGCCGACUGUGGCGAUACAACCGCCAUCGUUACAUCAUCACGUACCAGGAGAGGCCGUGGCUUCCUCCUCCGCUCAUCAUCCUCAGUCACAUGACCCUGGCUCUGACCGCCAUCUACACGAGGCUGAGUGGAGACGCUGAGAGAGAGGAGACGGGAUCUGGACUCAAACUCCACCUGGGCCUCGAGGAUCGUAAGAAGCUGCACGAGUUUGAGGAGAAGUGUGUGGAGGUUUAUGUUCAUGAGCGACGUGAAGGUUCUCACAGCAGCGAGGCCGAGAGGAUCCGAGCCACCGCUGACAGAGCAGAGGAGAUGUGUGUGAUCUUGGGCGAGGUCUCAGAGAAGGUCGACGUGAUCCAGGACAGUCUGUUAGCUCUGGACGCUCAGCUGGGUCAGCUCCAGGAUCUCUCCGCUCUGGCCAUGGACACGCUGACUCUGCUGUCGGCCUCUGACAGCGUUCAUCAGGAGGAAGCUCGUCUGGCUCAGUGUGGAUCCACUGCAGCUCCUCCUCACGCUCCUCCUCACGCUCCUCCUCACGCUCCUCCUCACAGCUGGACGUUCCUCCACAGAAGCACAGGAACCGAGCACGACGAUGCUCACGUCAGGCGGCUGACAGCUCAGUCGGGUAAAAGCACUCCUUCGUCUUUGAUUGGUUUGACUGUGGCGGCGAGCAGAAGGACAUCGUUACAGGAGGUGGAAGACAGGGGGCGCAAGAGAGUGAGACAAGAAGACGAGGAGGAGAAGAGAGAGAGAGGAGGAGAAGAAGGAGAAGAGGAUCCUCAGUCUGAGACCUGGUCUGGAGUUUGUAGACCUGCGUCUCAUCAUCAUGGACAUUUCUCUCAGACACCGUGUGAGUCCUGUGCUCCGUCCCGAUGUGGAUCUCCACAUCUUAAGUUCUGGAUCGGUGAUCCUUACCUGUAUCCCAGUCAGGAGGAAAUCUCCAUGGAAGAAGAAGAAGAAGGAGAAGAUGACGGACAUGAGGGACAGGGACAGGGACAGAGACAGAGAAUGAAAUUGUCCAGAAACUCCAGCACUGCUGUGCUUCUGUCUGAUCCUCGCGACGUCUCUGAAGGUUUCGUCAAUCCUGCCUUUUCUCAGGACAGCAGUCGGCCGACGUCUCCGUCCAGAUCUUGUCACGCGUGGGGACGUCCCGUGAAGGUGUCCCGGUGGACAUGCGUGUCCAGAGACCGUCCGUACGGCUACUGUCGCUCGCUGUCGUCCAGCAUGGAGAACAUGGCCUUCUGUGGAGCGCCGCUCAGUCCCACCAGAGGCUCCUUUCCGUCGCUCUGCGACGCCGUGAGGUCAGGGGGGCGGAGCUUCAGGGACGACGCGACGAUGCGCUGCAGUGGCAGCAAAGAAUGGUCCAAGUCCUCUGACUUCAGUCCAGCCUCAGACAGCAGAGGGAAAACUCAGAGCAGGAAGACGGUGAAGAUUCAGGAGAGAAGUCCAGACUCUGGACGUUUGAAUUUGUCAGACAUCUGCUGGAGGAGGAGACGCUGGCUGAGAGGAGAAGCCACGUGUUUGUCCGCGUCGACGAGCCUCAGUCAGCUCAAUUUUGAGCCCAUGGAUCUGCUGCAGAAACAAGUGUUUUCCCAUCAGGACGUGUGGAGUCCCACUCACUCAGCGUGGAACAGCAGGGCUCGAUCCAUGAGUCGCAGAUCUUCGUUACAGAGUAACAUCAACCCUGAAGUAAAGAGUUCAUCGUUUCAGUCCACUGAUCAUUUACAUCCUCAUUAUUCAGCUGUGGAGAGAAACAACCUGAUGAGAUUGGCUCACACUAUUCCCUUCACUCCUGUUUCCAUUUUAGGAGGUGAAGAGGUCAGCGUCUACUCUCUGGACGAAGUCUCCUCUGUCCCUGACUCUGUCCCUGUCCCUGAGGACAGCUCAGUGUCCUCCUGGUCGUCUCAGGCUCUCUCUGCCGUGCUGCAGCCUCUGUCCAGUGAAGAAGGUUCUCUGGACGGUGGUCUCCGGCUGGGACGCAGGGUCCUGUGUACGUGGGCAGAGAGGGACGUGCUCAGACCUGGUCUGGUCUACGUGGUCAAGGCCUUCAGGCCGGAGGUGGUUCGGUCGUGGCAGAGACAGUUCCACGGCAGCACGGUGCUGCAGCUCUGUCUCAGGGAGAUUCAGCAGCAAAGAGCUGCUCAGAAGAUGAUGAAGAUUUUUAACCAGAACAAACCUGAAGAUCUGCAACACACACCCAGGUUCUUGGACGUGUCUCUGGUCCUGUGGCAUUCAAACGGUCAGUGGUUGACCAUCGAGAGAAACAUGCCUGGUGAAUUCAGGAAGUACAACAACAACACCGGGGAAGAGAUCGCCCCCUGCUGCUCUUUAGAGGAAACACUGCUGGCGUUUUCUCACUGGACGUUUGAGUAUUCAAACCGAGAGCUGCUGGUGCUGGACAUACAAGGUGUGGGAGAAGAACUGACUGAUCCAACUGUCAUUAUGGCAGAAAACCAAAGUGGAAACAGAGGGGAGAUGCUUUUUGGAGCCGAUAACCUCGGAGACGCUGCCGUCCGUGGUUUCCUGCAGAAACACUCCUGCAGCAGCUGCUGCCGCAGACUCGGCCUCAGAGAUUUAAGGAAGAGCGUGGACGACUGUGAGAUCAGCAGCAGCAGCAGCAGCAGCAGCAGCAGCAGCAGCAGCAGCAGCACCGAGGCAGAGCUGACGCCAAACGCAGGGUCUGACCUUUGACCCAGCAAUAAACGUUAAACGGUUACUCACUGUGAAGAGGAAGCUCCAUGUGCACAUUCACCGAAAAACAAGAAAAACAAAACCUCGAAACACCCGAACAACCGGAACAGUUUCAGGGAAACGCAGCCAAACUCCUGCUCACACUACUGCUCUCUUUCAAGUUACCAUCCAUAAUGAAUGGACAGCUCCUGUUCAGAGCUGAGAUGAUGGGAUGUAUGUACAGUGAGCUGCUGCUGCUGCUGCUGCUGCUGCUGCUGCUGCUGCUGCUUCAGUCAAACAUGGAGGAAAUGGUGCGAGUUUUAAUGGAAAAAGUUGUGAAGCAGAGAGGCAACUUUUAGAAAAACACGUUUCAUCCAGUGGACUCUAAAAGAACAGAACAUAGCUUGAAUUGUGAUUGGAGUAUUUUUACCAUAUUUACCUUAGCUCAUUAUAAUAAUAAUAAUAAUAAUAAUAAUGAUAGGGUUGCAAAGACAUUUUGAUUAAUUAAUUAAUUAUUAAUUUAUUACUCAGUUAAUCUUUAACUAUUUUUAAAAAUGUAUCAUCAGUUUGAGUUUCUAUAAUAAUUCUAAUCAGUUUGAGUGAUUUUUCAGCUUCUUGAAUGUGAAUAUUUUCUGGUUUCUUUGCUCCAUAUAAAUCAUUAAAACUGAGUAAUUUUG